GACGAACGCUGGCGGCGUGCUUAACACAUGCAAGUCGAACGGUGAAGGGAUCAGCUUGCUGGUUCUGGAUGAGUGGCGAACGGGUGAGUAACACGUGAGUAACCUGCCCCCUUCUUCUGGAUAACCGCAUGAAAGUGUGGCUAAUACGGGAUAUUCUGGGUCUGUCGCAUGAUGGGUCUGGGAAAGAUAUUGUUUCGGUGGGGGAUGGGCUCGCGGCCUAUCAGCUUGUUGGUGGGGUGAUGGCCUACCAAGGCGGUGACGGGUAGCCGGCCUGAGAGGGUGGACGGUCACACUGGGACUGAGACACGGCCCAGACUCCUACGGGAGGCAGCAGUGGGGAAUAUUGCACAAUGGGCGCAAGACUGAUGCAGCGACGCCGCGUGAGGGAUGGAGGCCUUCGGGUUGUAAACCUCUUUCGCCAGUGAAGCAGGCCUGCUCCUUGUGGGUGGGUUGACGGUAGCUGGAUAAGAAGCGCCGGCUAACUACGUG
rnacentral:rRNA from 1 species